rnacentral:rRNA from 1 species
AGUGAACGCUGGCGGCAUGCCUAACACAUGCAAGUCGAACGGCAGCACGAUAAGCCUUCUUUGUUGGUGGUAGCGGGGGGCGGGUGUGUGACAUGUAGAUCACCUUCCCCUAUGUCGGGGGUGACUUCGUCGAAACAGUUCCUAUAACCGCAAAUAUCCUGAACGGGAAAGUGCAGGAGUGCAAGACGGCAUUCCAGACUCGCAGAGAAGGUUUCGUGCUGGAUUAGCUAGUUGGUAAGGUAACGGCUCACCAAGGCGACGGUGCGUAGCCGGUCUGAGAGGAUGAUCAGCCACACUGGAACUGAGACACGGUCCAGACUCCUACGGGAGGCAGCAGUGGGGAAUCUUGGACAAUGGGCGAAAGCCUGAUCCAGCAAUGCCGCGUGUGUGAAGAAGGCCUUCGGGUUGUAAAGCCCUUUUGUUGGGAAAGAAAAGGCGCUGGUUAAUACCUGGGGUUGAUGACGGUACCGAAAGAAUAAGCACCGGCUAACUACGUG